rnacentral:rRNA from 1 species
GAUGAACGCUGGCGGCGUGCCUAAUACAUGCAAGUCGAGCGAACAGACGAGGAGCUUGCUCCUCUGACGUUAGCGGCGGACGGGUGAGUAACACGUGGAUAACCUACCUAUAAGACUGGGAUAACUUCGGGAAACCGGAGCUAAUACCGGAUAAUAUAUUGAACCGCAUGGUUCAAUAGUGAAAGACGGUUUUGCUGUCACUUAUAGAUGGAUCCGCGCCGCAUUAGCUAGUUGGUAAGGUAACGGCUUACCAAGGCAACGAUGCGUAGCCGACCUGAGAGGGUGAUCGGCCACACUGGAACUGAGACACGGUCCAGACUCCUACGGGAGGCAGCAGUAGGGAAUCUUCCGCAAUGGGCGAAAGCCUGACGGAGCAACGCCGCGUGAGUGAUGAAGGUCUUCGGAUCGUAAAACUCUGUUAUUAGGGAAGAACAAAUGUGUAAGUAACUAUGCCCGUCUUGACGGUACCUACACAGAAAGCCCCGGCUAACUACGUG